UACGGAGGGUGCGAGCGUUGUCCGGAAUCAUUGGGCGUAAAGGGCGCGUAGGUGGCCCCUCAAGCGUGCGGUGAAAGUCAGGGGCUCAACCCCUGAUCGGCCGUGCGAACUGGGGAGCUUGAGCACUGUAGAGGCAGGCGGAAUUCCGGGUGUAGCGGUGGAAUGCGUAGAGAUCCGGAAGAACACCGGUGGCGAAGGCGGCCUGCUGGGCAGUUUUGCUGGACACUGAGGCGCGACAGCGUGGGGAGCAAACAGGG
rnacentral:rRNA from 1 species